CCCUUAGAUGUUCUGGGCCGCACGCGCGCUACACUGUUCGACGCAGCGAGUCUUAACCUUGACCGAAAGGUUUGGGUAAUCUUCAGCAAAGUCGAACGUGAUGGGGAUCGAUCAUUGCAAUUAUUGAUCGUGAACGAGGAAUUCCUAGUAAGUGCAAGUCAUCAGCUUGCGCUGAUUACGUCCCUGCCCUUUGUACACACCGCCCGUCGCUACUACCGAUUGAAUGGUUUAGUGAGAUCUCUGGAUUGACGCUGGCUAGGGGGCGACCCUUGGCCGGACUGUUGAGAAACUGCUCAAACUUGAUCAUUUAGAGGAAGUAAAAGUCGUAACA
rnacentral:rRNA from 1 species